rnacentral:rRNA from 1 species
GAUGAACGCUAGCGGCAGGCCUAAUACAUGCAAGUCGAACGGUAACUUUGGUAGCAAUAUUGAAGCAAGAGUGACGUACGGGUGCGUAACACGUAUGCAACCUACCUAUAACAGGAGGAUAGCUCGGGGAAACUCGGAUUAACCCUCCAUAAUAUAAUUGGAUGGCAUCAUUGAUUAUUAAAACUGCGGUGGUUAUAGAUGGGCAUGCGUCUGAUUAGCUAGUUGGUGAGGUAACGGCUCACCAAGGCGAUGAUCAGUAGGGGAACUGAGAGGUUGAUCCCCCACACUGGCACUGAGAUACGGGCCAGACUCCUACGGGAGGCAGCAGUAGGGAAUAUUGGUCAAUGGAUGGAAGUCUGAACCAGCCAUGCCGCGUGCAGGAAGAAGGCCUUCUGGGUUGUAAACUGCUUUUGUCAGGGGAUAAAAAGCCCAUGCGUGGGAAAUUGCAGGUACCUGAUGAAUAAGCCACGGCUAACUACGUGCCAGCAGCCGCAGUAAUAC